rnacentral:rRNA from 1 species
GACGAACGCUGGCGGCGUGCCUAACACAUGCAAGUCGAACGGAAAGGCCCUGCUUCUGUGGCGUGCUCGAGUGGCGAACGGGCGAGUAACACGUGAGUAACUUGCCCUCCUCUUUGGGAUAACUUCAUGCAACUGGGGCUAAUACCGGAUAGUAGCUCCUGCUGCACGGUGGGGGUUGUAAAGUUUCGGCGGUCGGGUAUGGAAUCUCGGAUUAUCAGCUUGUUGGUGGGGUAGUGGCUUACCAACGCUUCGACGGGUAGCCGGCCUGAGAGGGAGAACGGGGACAUGAGGACUGAGAUACGGCGCAGAAUGAAACGGGACGCAGCAGGAGAGAAUAUUACGCAAUAGGCAGAAGCCAGAUGCAGAAGCGCCGCGAGCGGGAAAACGGCCUUCAGGUUAAAAACCGCUAUCGCCGGAAACGAAGAGUAAGUGACGGUAAUGGGUAAAAAAGCACCGGCUAACUACGUG